UCCUGACUGACCGAUAGUGAACCAGUACCGUGAGGGAAAGGCGAAAAGAACCCCGGCGAGGGGAGUGAAAAAGAACCUGAAACCGUGUACGUACAAGCAGUGGGAGCCUCUUAAUGGGGUGACUGCGUACCUUUUGUAUAAUGGGUCAGCGACUUAUAUUCUGUAGCAAGGUUAACCGAAUAGGGGAGCCGAAGGGAAACCGAGUCUUAACUGGGCGUUAAGUUGCAGGGUAUAGACCCGAAACCCGGUGAUCUAGCCAUGGGCAGGUUGAAGGUUGGGUAACACUAACUGGAGGACCGAACCGACUAAUGUUGAAAAAUUAGCGGAUGACUUGUGGCUGGGGGUGAAAGGCCAAUCAAACCGGGAGAUAGCUGGUUCUCCCCGAAAGCUAUUUAGGUAGCGCCUCGUGAAUUCAUCUCCGGGGGUAGAGCACUGUUUCGGCAAGGGGGUCAUCCCGACUUACCAACCCGAUGCAAACUGCGAAUACCGGAGAAUGUUAUCACGGGAGACACACGGCGGGUGCUAACGUCCGUCGUGAAGAGGGAAACAACCCAGACCGCCAGCUAAGGUCCCAAAGUCAUGGUUAAGUGGGAAACGAUGUGGGAAGGCCCAGACAGCCAGGAUGUUGGCUUAGAAGCAGCCAUCAUUUAAAGAAAGCGUAAUAGCUCACUGGUCGAGUCGGCCUGCGCGGAAGAUGUAACGGGGCUAAACCAUGCACCGAAGCUGCGGCAGCGACACUAUGUGUUGUUGGGUAGGGGAGCGUUCUGUAAGCCUGUGAAGGUGGCCUGUGAGGGUUGCUGGAGGUAUCAGAAGUGCGAAUGCUGACAUAAGUAACGAUAAAGCGGGUGAAAAGCCCGCUCGCCGGAAGACCAAGGGUUCCUGUCCAACGUUAAUCGGGGCAGGGUGAGUCGACCCCUAAGGCGAGGCCGAAAGGCGUAGUCGAUGGGAAACAGGUUAAUAUUCCUGUACUUGGUGUUACUGCGAAGGGGGGACGGAGAAGGCUAUGUUGGCCGGGCGACGGUUGUCCCGGUUUAAGCGUGUAGGCUGGUUUUCCAGGCAAAUCCGGAAAACCAAGGCUGAGGCGUGAUGACGAGGCACUACGGUGCUGAAGUGACAAAUGCCCUGCUUCCAGGAAAAGCCUCUAAGCAUCAGGUAACAUCAAAUCGUACCCCAAACCGACACAGGUGGUCAGGUAGAGAAUACCAAGGCGCUUGAGAGAACUCGGGUGAAGGAACUAGGCAAAAUGGUGCCGUAACUUCGGGAGAAGGCACGCUGAUAUGUAGGUGAAGCGACUUGCUCGUGGAGCUGAAAUCAGUCGAAGAUACCAGCUGGCUGCAACUGUUUAUUAAAAACACAGCACUGUGCAAACACGAAAGUGGACGUAUACGGUGUGACGCCUGCCCGGUGCCGGAAGGUUAAUUGAUGGGGUUAGCGGUAACGCGAAGCUCUUGAUCGAAGCCCCGGUAAACGGCGGCCGUAACUAUAACGGUCCUAAGGUAGCGAAAUUCCUUGUCGGGUAAGUUCCGACCUGCACGAAUGGCGUAAUGAUGGCCAGGCUGUCUCCACCCGAGACUCAGUGAAAUUGAACUCGCUGUGAAGAUGCAGUGUACCCGCGGCAAGACGGAAAGACCCCGUGAACCUUUACUAUAGCUUGACACUGAACAUUGAGCCUUGAUGUGUAGGAUAGGUGGGAGGCUUUGAAGUGUGGACGCCAGUCUGCAUGGAGCCGACCUUGAAAUACCACCCUUUAAUGUUUGAUGUUCUAACGUUGGCCCCUAAUCGGGGUUGCGGACAGUGUCUGGUGGGUAGUUUGACUGGGGCGGUCUCCUCCUAAAGAGUAACGGAGGAGCACGAAGGUUGGCUAAUCCUGGUCGGACAUCAGGAGGUUAGUGCAAUGGCAUAAGCCAGCUUGACUGCGAGCGUGACGGCGCGAGCAGGUGCGAAAGCAGGUCAUAGUGAUCCGGUGGUUCUGAAUGGAAGGGCCAUCGCUCAACGGAUAAAAGGUACUCCGGGGAUAACAGGCUGAUACCGCCCAAGAGUUCAUAUCGACGGCGGUGUUUGGCACCUCGAUGUCGGCUCAUCACAUCCUGGGGCUGAAGUAGGUCCCAAGGGUAUGGCUGUUCGCCAUUUAAAGUGGUACGCGAGCUGGGUUUAGAACGUCGUGAGACAGUUCGGUCCCUAUCUGCCGUGGGCGCUGGAGAACUGAGGGGGGCUGCUCCUAGU
rnacentral:rRNA from 1 species